rnacentral:rRNA from 1 species
GAUGAACGCUGGCGGCGUGCCUAAUACAUGCAAGUCGAGCGAAUGGAUUAAGAGCUUGCUCUUAUGAAGUUAGCGGCGGACGGGUGAGUAACACGUGGGUAACCUGCCCAUAAGACUGGGAUAACUCCGGGCAACCGGGGCUAAUACCGGAUAACAUUUUGAACCGCAUGGUUCGAAAUUGAAAGGCGGCUUCGGCUGUCACUUAUGGAUGGACCCGGGUCGCAUUAGCUAGUUGGUGAGGUAACGGCUCACCAAGGCAACGAUGCGUAGCCGACCUGAGAGGGUGAUCGGCCACACUGGGACUGAGACACGGCCCAGACUCCUACGGGAGGCAGCAGUAGGGAAUCUUCCGCAAUGGACGAAAGCCUGACGGAGCAACGCCGCGUGAGUGAUGAAGGCUUUCGGGUCGUAAAACUCUGUUGUUAGGGAAGAACAAGUGCUAGUUGAAUAAGCUGGCACCUUGACGGUACCUAACCAGAAAGCCACGGCUAACUACGUGCCAGCCGCCGCAGUAA